GGGUCAGUAGGUUGGUCGUGCCAACGGUAAGUACUGGCCUCACUGAUUCCUCCUUCCUGAAGAACCGUAAUGCCAUUAAUUUGGUGUUGCGGGGAAACAGGACUGUUACUUUGAAAAAAUUAGAGUGUUUAAAGCAAGCUAACGCUUGAAUACAUUAGCAUGGAAUAAUGAAAUAGGACGAUCGAUCCUAUUUUGUUGGUUUCUAGGAUUGACGUA
rnacentral:rRNA from 1 species